AAAGGGAAUUAUCAGGUUACUGCUAAUAAUCUGUUGUCAUUUAAGUUUGACUCUCUUUU
rnacentral:tRNA from 1 species